GAAAGCUUUUGGGUGCUGCAUAAGUCACAUCUACUAUAUCAAAUGGACACAGCUCAAUUCCUAGACUGUAAGAUCCAAAAGGCUUGUAGGGGUAAUUUAGUUUGCUUUCUGCACACCUGCAGUCAGAAAUUUUCUCCAGAGAAGGACAGAAUUACAGGAAGAAGUGGAUUUGGAGCAGAGAGUGCUCGUGGCUGUAGAAGGAGGAAUGACGCUGCUUCCACUACAGUAUGUGAGAAAGAAGAUUCCUGUAGUGAAGAUCUAUCACUUAGGACAGUUUUUAACUGAGGGCUGUGCGAAAGCUUCCCUGGUACUUUAUCAGACUUGCAAAUGAAGAAAGCAAUCCAUUUCUCAAAGCACUUUUGGAUUUCUUCUAGCAAUUUGAAGACUUGCUUAUAAUGUUCUGAAAACUCCUUUGUAGUCCUUCUCCAGAUGCUCUUCUGAAUUAUUCCAGAUCAUUAUGCUGAAACCAUCUCUUGAAGAAUCCAUCUGAACAAAGCAUUAAGACUGUUGGUUACAUCUGCUUUGGGACUGCCCAAGAGGACUUCAUCCUGACUCCGCCUUGUUACUGUAGUUCAUAUGAUACUGCCUGUCCUAUUUCCAUGUGGUUCUGCAUCUAGAAUUCUUCCACUGUUUGUUUGUUUCUUGUUAAACAUCUUUUAGCAAGCUGAGGAAAAAAUCUUCAAAUAAAAAUGACAGACUAGUGCACUUUGGUAACAUAUAAUGUUUUGUAAAUUUAAACUAUUCCUAACAGUAGUUGUCCUUCUCUUAACAGUUGCCCUCUUGUGAAGCAAGAACAUUUCCAGGAUUUCGCUUGUGUCUAAGGCAGCAAAAGAAAGAAGAAAGUGUAAGAACAAUAUUUCAACAGGACUAAAAGAAUCCUAUAGAAAGCAUUUAAGGUCUACUGAACCUGCACUCUGAGUAAAUAUACAUGUUUUUUGCA